rnacentral:lncRNA from 1 species
AAUUUAUUUAUUUAUUUUUUUCUCCACAGCUUUAAGGCCAUUUUCCAAGACUACUGGAUUAGGUGUAUGUUGUACGGACAGACCAGCGUUAGUGUGGCUUGCAAUAUCCUUUGCAAAGCAUUCAUCUUGUAUUACAGUGCCUGCAAUGAUAGACCACAGCUUGUCUGAGACUGAAGAUCUUGCUGGAGCUCUAAUGAAGCAUCCGGUGUGA